CUACGUGCCAGCAGCCGCGGUAAUACGUAGGGUGCGAGCGUUAAUCGGAAUUACUGGGCGUAAAGCGAGCGCAGACGGUUACUUAAGCAGGAUGUGAAAUCCCCGGGCUCAACCUGGGAACUGCGUUCUGAACUGGGUGACUAGAGUGUGUCAGAGGGAGGUAGAAUUCCACGUGUAGCAGUGAAAUGCGUAGAGAUGUGGAGGAAUACCGAUGGCGAAGGCAGCCUCCUGGGAUAACGCUGACGUUCAUGCUCGAAAGCGUGGGUAGCAAACAGGAUUAGAUACCCUGGUAGUCCACGCCCUAAACGAUGUCAAUUAGCUGUUGGGCAACUUGAUUGCUUAGUAGCGUAGCUAACGCGUGAAAUUGACCGCCUGGGGAGUACGGUCGCAAGAUUAAAACUCAAAGGAAUUGACGGGGACCCGCACAAGCGGUGGAUGAUGUGGAUUAAUUCGAUGCAACGCGAAGAACCUUACCUGGUCUUGACAU
rnacentral:rRNA from 1 species